ACACAUUUUGUGUUUUAUUAGUGGUGGUAAAAUGUUGGAAGCAAAGUAAUAUUUUUUGCUUUAAUAAUGUCUGUGUCAAUCAUUUACAUUUUAUGGAAGACGUUUUCCCACUUAAAUCGUAUGUUUCAUUCUUUUUGGGAUGUUAAAUGGCUUACUUAUUUUUCCAUAGACUCUCACAUUUCAAUUUACUUUUACAGAUGGAUAAGUAUAGUGCUCUGGCACAGGUGAUUUUAAUAAGUAAAAUAAUUUCCUACGUGUUUUUAGAUUUUAAAGCAUUUUAUAUUCUGAAUUUAACAUUUGAACAUAUAGGAAAUGUCCUAGUCUGUUUUCAAAUGUGGUAAUCACAGUCAUUCUUUAGCAUCGUUUGACAUAAUCAGUUCUAUUUGAAAGUGUAAGUUUCUGAAGGCUUACAUAAAUUCAUCUUGAAAUAAGAUAAUGGUAGUGGGCGUCUUAAAAUGUCCUAUGCAUAUUUGAAAGGUUACAUUAAAAUAUAAUCUAGUAGUCUUUGGCCAGUUUCUUGAUUUUUUUUUUUAAGUCUUGGACCCUUCUCUUUUAUCACCAGAAUUACCUGUCUUUAUCAUUGAGAUUUUUUUUUUGUAAUAAAGAUGUGUUAUUCCUUAAUUUAUUUUAAAAUGCUUUCAUACUAGAAAGCAUGGUGCUAAUUUUAAUAUGCAAAUUUUAUAUAAUCUGGCCCAGUGAGAUAUGUAUUUCUGCUUGUUAAACAGCAUCCUUUCCUUUGUUUUAGUAUGUAGCAUAAUAUGUAUUAAAACAUUUUUAAGUAUUAGAAAAGCAAUGAAUAUGGCAAGGUAUUCUACAUUAAGCUUAAUAGAAUAAUGACACAAAGAAAUUCUUUCUAGAUGCACGAUUUUGGGUGUAUUUUAUGGAUACCAAAAAAAAUGGGAGCUACUGCAUCUGUAACCAGUGAAACUUCAGUAGAUUAACUGUAACCUCCUUACAACACAUUUUAGUUGUGGUUAAAUGUAAUAAAGCUGCUUAAUUUUGACUUUAUGUUUUCUUGUUACUGCUUGGUGAGAAUCAUAUUUGCUGCUUAACAGUGAAAGCAUCCUAUCCAUGAAAUUUCUUUCCCUGUCUUAACCUUAAUAGAAUUUUCUGUAUAAUUUUGUCAUUUGGGUUUCUAUAAAUAUAGCAGAUCUUCAGAAGGCUAUAAUCCUAGGCACAUGAAAGAAAGAAAAUUAUAUAAAACUUAUAUCAGGAUGAUGCUAAUUUGCUUGCCUAUGAAUGAUAUAUUACUCCAUUUUGUUACUUUACUUUAAAUGACAGACUGUAUUUAUUACUGUACUUUGUCAAUUUUUGGAUGGGGAGGUGCUUAAAAUCAGCUAUCUGGUCUGUCAGGAAAUGCCAACUAUUAAAUUAAAAUUUUUUUAUCACAUGUUGAUUUCUAUUGCAAACUUACAUUAGCAACUUGCUUUUUAGUAUUUUAGAUUUCGAAAGUUUAUUCCCAUUAAUAUUUUUAAGCAACCAUUAAGAAUUUAAGUAACUAAUUUAGACAUUGCCAUUUGCAGGUAGCCACAUAUGUGGUGCAGGCAAAUGGUAACUCGUUCCUUUUACAAGAAUCAUAUGCUUGGCGAUAGAACCAAAUUGGUGAAUCUGAGGGUUCAUUUGGUAAUUUGACUGUAAAUGCACAAAGGCUAAGGUCAGCUCUUUUACCGUGUACAUGUACUAAUUCACAGUUGGUUUGUGGUUUUGGUAAACAUGAAAGAAACCUGACGGGAACUGUCAGGCUCGCUUUUGUCCUCACCUUCUUUCUAUGGCAUUUGAAUUCUGUGCAUGAAAUACAACCUUGACUGGAACUGAAUUUUGUGACAAAAGUUCUUUUCUAGUUUGUGAGGUUGUGCCUCUGUUACUGGCAGGUGGUUGCAAGAACCUGGUGAAAUUGUCGGGGUUCAGAGGCUCGGCAUGUUCAGGGAGAGGUUACAGGGGAGCAGAUUCAGUGAGUGUGUCCCCCCAAAAGGAGCCAGACCUCCUGGGCUUAAGAACCGCAAGAAGGCUGCGCAGUUGGCUGAAUAGUUUUGUUCACAUACUUUUGCAUGUUUGUCGUGCACUUCAGCUCAUCAUACUGGAGGGCAGGAAAGGUUUAUAUUUUAUGCUCGACGCUUGGAAGCAUUUAGAUUGGAAAAUGAGAAAAAUAAAAAUGUUUAUUCUAAA